AUGCUUGUCCCGAAGCUUAAGCCAUGCAUGUCUUAGAAGUAUAAUAGGAGGCGAUCCAUAAAUCUGCGAACGGCUCCGUAUAUCUGUUAUCACCCACGGCCACUAAAAAGAUCUCGGAUACCCACGGUAAUUCUGAGGCUAAUACGUAUACGUAGCUUGGGCCUCCAGGACAGGGCGCCCUCCGCAAGGGGGGCGCCUGGGCUAGUCGCUUGUUGCCGGGGGGUCCCGCAAGGGGUCCGCUGUCAUGAUGGCAGGCUAGUGCACCACACUGCGGGGGCGAUAUGUCCCGUAGGGUGCGCCAAGGGAGCCAGCCCUAUUAACUAGGUGUCCGGGUAAGGCCCGGCCGCGGUGAUAACGGGUACAGAGGAUCAGGGUUCGGUCCUGGAGAGGAAGCCUGAGAGAUCGCUUCUACUUCUAAGGAAGGCAGCAGGCGCGCAACGUUCCCAAUGGGGAUACCCUGAGGACGUGAGGGGAUAUAGCAAUGCCCCGCCCAUAAAGCGGGGCAAUUGCAAUGGGGGUCCACUAAACCCUCCAC
rnacentral:rRNA from 1 species